UGUAGCACAACAAGCAGGUUCAACAGAUCUCUCACUCUUCACAGCGAUUCGGCAGAGGCAAAAGGGGAACGUUUGUGGACACUUGACAGCUUUCAGAGACUGCUAUGACAUCUCGCAGGUGGUUCCACCCCAACAUCACAGGCAUCGAGGCAGAACGGCUUCUGUUGACCCGGGGUGUCCACGGCAGUUUCCUGGCUCGGCCGAGCAAGAGCAAUCCGGGGGAUUUUACCCUCUCUGUCAGGCGCAAUGAUGAGGUGACCCACAUUAAGAUCCAGAACUCAGGUGACUACUACGACCUGUACGGAGGUGAGAAGUUUGCCACACUGGCCGAGCUGGUGCAAUAUUACACCGAACAACAGGAUCUCCUGCGCGAGAGGAACGGCCAUGUCAUCGAGCUCAAGUACCCACUCAACUGCAAGGACCCGACCUCUGAGAGGUGGUACCAUGGGCACCUCUCUGGGCGAGAUGCAGAGAAACUGCUGACAGACAAAGGCAAAGCUGGUAGCUUCCUGGUACGGGAGAGCCAGAGUAAACCGGGGGACUUCGUACUCUCAGUUCUCACCAAUGAGGAGAAACACGAGAAUGUGGACCGCAAGACCAAGGUCACCCACGUUAUGAUACGCUACCAGCAGGACGGUAAAUACGACGUGGGCGGCGGUGAGAGGUUCGACACCCUGGCUGACCUGGUGGAUCACUACAAGAAGAACCCCAUGGUGGAGAAAAGUGGCAUCGUAGUGCACCUCAAACAGCCCUUUAAUGCCACGAGAAUAAAUGCAGCCAACAUCGAGAACCGGGUACGAGAGCUCAACAAAGUAGCAGACAACUCUGAGAAACCCAAACAGGGAUUCUGGGAAGAAUUUGAGGUACUACAGCAGCAGGAGUGCAAACUGCUGUAUCCCCGGAAAGAAGGCCAGAAGCCAGAAAACAAGAGCAAAAACAGAUACAAGAAUAUCCUCCCCUUCGACACAACUCGGGUUGAACUCAGGGAAAUAGAUCCAGAUGUUCCUGGUUCAGACUACAUCAAUGCCAACUACAUCAGAAGUAAGCAUGAAGAGCGGCGCCACGAGGAUGAGGGCAAAGUCUUCAUCGCCACCCAAGGGUGCCUACAAAAUACGGUCGUUGACUUCUGGAAGAUGGUGUAUCAGGAGAAUACACACGUCAUCGUCAUGACCACGAAGGAGAUGGAGCGAGGACGGAACAAAUGUGUUUGUUACUGGCCCGACCUCCACGCCACUAAGGAGUUUGGUAAGGUGCUGGUAAGGAACGUGGAUGAGCGGCCAGCACAAGACUACAUCCUGAGGCAGCUGGAGGUGACCCGUCUAGACAGGAAAGAGCCUCCUAGGUACAUCUGGCACUACCAGUACCUGAGCUGGCCGGACCACGGGGUGCCCAAUGAACCCGGCGGUGUCCUCUGGUUCCUAGAGGAGGUCAACCGCACCCAGAGUACCAUUCCAGACACCGGACCUAUUGUCGUCCACUGCAGUGCAGGCAUCGGCAGGACAGGCACCAUAAUCGUCGUUGACAUCCUUAUUGACAUUAUUAACCGCCAAGGUCUAGAUUGUGACAUCGACGUCCCAAAGACCAUCCAGAGGGUACGGCAGCAGAGAUCAGGCAUGGUACAGACAGAGGCCCAGUAUAAGUUCAUCUACAUGGCUGUGCAGCAGUACAUAGACACGGCUCAGAAGAGACUGGAGGAGGAGCAGAGGAAUAAGUUGAAGGAGAGGGAAUAUUCCAAUAUCAAAUAUCCCCAGAUGACCAACUCAAGGUCCAAACCCAGCAUGACAUCCUCACGCUCUUCUUCUGUGAUGACAAAUGAUGAUUCAUCUAGUGUGUACGAGAACAUAAACUUUAAAAGCCCUCAGACGUCAUUUAGCAGUAACACCAGGAGGUAAAACCAUCGCUGUUGACCUGAACAUCUCUCUGUCUGCCUCCCUGUGGCAGUAACACUCCAAGAUACAGUAUGCUGCAUUGCGCCAGCAAAGGUAAAGAAAGAAGAAGAAGAAGAAGAAGAAGAAGAAGAAGACGACAAGCAAGCUAGUUAACAUGGAUAUAGACAAUCCUGCAUCUUGAAUACUUAAAAAAAAUGUCUUUGUAAAUGUUUAUAAGGCGAUGGACACAAUUGUUAUACCCCAAACAUACACACAAUGUGUUUUGUUUCAGCGGAGGUGUCGCUUCAUCAGCUCCUAAAAAUCCCUUGAGGGAAGAGGGAGUGUGUUGCUCUGACUACACCCCACAUCAGUGGACCCUGCCUGGGCAGAAGGUGGCGAGCUGACCCCUCUCUCCCUGCUGCCGUCCUGCUUGACCUCUCUGGAGUCAAACCAUAGAGACAAUGACUCCUCAGCAUAGUGCUCUCGCUAAGGGCCCUUGUCCCCUCUUCCCCUCCCCCACCCACCGUUCCAGCCUCUUCCUCUCUUAACCAGCACGAGUGCCUUGUCACAGGAUGUGUCCGUAAUCUAGCCUCCCCAAACCUGCUGUUACUUCUUUACUGUUACAAUUUCCAAAUCCUGGAAAUCCAAGUUGACGUGAGAAACAUCCAGUUUCCCCUAGGUGUGACGGAUAAUAAACAUGGAGUCUAUGGAGUCUGCUGCGGCCUGAACUGAACAGAACUGUACGGAACCCAAGAAUAGGUCAACGCUAAGCUGUUUGUCCGCUCUUUGCCAGAAAUCAGUCUGUUCGCUAUCCCUCUUUCUCUGUCUUUGCCGGCUUCAUUUAAACUCGACCUUAGACUGUUUUUGCGGCAUUGUGUCUCUCCAGCUGUGUUGGUUAUUAAUGUGGGUGCUGAGUGAUAACAAGGACAGUUACGUAACCUGCUACAGGACCCUGAGGUACAGGGAAGGCAAGCAAGCCCUUUAAAAAAUAAUUUGACACAAUAAUUUCAGGUGUGAAAGUGGACUUAUUUUUUUUUUUUUUUUUUUUUUAAGAUGUGAUUGAUUUUCAACGUUUUAUUGUUAAAGAGUUGUACAGUAUGUAACUCCUGCAAAUCAGCUGUUCUGUACUUUAACAGGACUGGAGGCCAUUAAUGGUUAAUGGGACACAUCAGUCCUGUCUGUCAUCAGAACAUGGCCUCCAGCUGGUGUUUUUGUCUGUCCAUUUAAUCAGCUUGUUUUCAUUAUUUCUUGGUGUUUUUGUUGAUACUGUGUAACAUAUGAGAUGUUAAUUUUUUUUUUUAAAUAUAUAUAUACAUUGAUAAAGGAGCAUUAGGAUGGGAGAAAUCAUGUUCAAGUACAAAUGUCUAAGCAGCGUCUCCAGCACUAAGUUUGAUUUACCGAUAAAUUGUAAUAGUAGUUCCAAGUCCACAUUUGACAGGAAACAGGUGGAGGGGAUUCCUGAAUGGGUGUUUUGGAGUUGAGCUCGGCUGACCGCCGUCUCUCAGCGGCGUUUGACUGGCUGUCCUCGUUAAUCGGCAGGUCUGAUGCAGUUCAACAUCUGUCGCAGGAGAUCGUCACAAGGAGACAAGAGAAUGGGGGCGAUUACAGUGGGCCAGAUGGCCAUCCGCCUGAGAUUGAAGAAUAGAUUUGUCUCCAAAAAGUAAUUUAGAAGAUGACCAUAAUCCAGGCUUGAUGAUAGUAGGCCGUGUAAGCCAACGUCAUCGAUGUGAUAACGAAGACGGUGGUGUCAUGGAGCACUGAACCCUCUGCACGGUCUGGCAGAUUGUUUGCUAUUUUUAGCCUCCUGAAUCAGCACCAAAAUAUCCUACUCAAAUACAAGUGCACAUGCGUUUGUGAAAUCUAAUCUAGCUUGUUUAAAAUGUAAUGACUUAAUGAUCCAGAAAUCCUUAAAAAACUCUCACAGUAGGAAGAUGUCAUGAUGAUGUGUGUUCGGUCUACCUUUUUAUUUUUAUUUAAAGCAUCAAAUGAAUGAACAGCACCUGUUGGUGAUGUUUGUGCUCACUCAGACCAUUCCUUCUUUCUCCACCAACGGAAAUGUGUGACUAACCAGGUCAAGGACGCUCACAGACUGGACUCGCCUUGUUUUCUUCCUCGUCAUAAAUUGGCCAGUUUCUGAAGCUGCAACUCGUGAUUCUUAAGAAACGUGAUUCUAAAAUACAGCUAAGUGUGAUCAGAAUGUACUUGACUAACAGUACUGAGUCAUUGCACUGCAAUAAACUGUAAUUUGUAGUACACAAAUACAGUAAUACAUUAACCUGCCGCAGCCAUAUCAUCCUGUGUGACAACGCAGUUCUUUCAUUUAUUAAGGUCUCAGUUGAAGCUUUGUUUGUCCAGUGAUUUCAGUCACUUGUCUGUCAGCGUGAAGAGUUUUCCAGGUAUAAAUGGUUGCCAAUGUAUUUUAAUGGUUAAUUCCUUUUGUGAAUAAAAGCUAUGUUUUAUGAAAUGUGUGGCAUCGAUGCCCUGUGUCAGUGAAGGCCUAUGUCUGUCUAGAAAUAUGCUGCACCACUUGAUGUACUUCAGUUGAAUUUGGACAUUGAAGCUGUUUGGAUUCUUGUAGUUUUUCCUUUUGUCCUUUUCCCAUCUGAACUGUGAUCUUUGUCCGAUGAAUGACAAAUGACCUUGGUCGUUUUGUUUCUGAACUAUCUCGCGCUGUGGAUAAUUUUAGAUUUUUAUUGUAUUUCACUUUGCCUCUAUGGGUCAAAAUCUUUUUUUUAUGAUGUGGUGAAACAUCAAUACUUGAAAGUGUGAAACUGCUGAAUCUUUGGUUGUGUGUGAAUGUCCAUUGGCUGUGGAAGUAUUUUUGGUAGUGCACUAGACUUGUCAGUGUUGUUUCUUUUUUUCUUGUCGUUUCAUUUCAAAUUGCAUUUGAAAUUGAUUGUUUUGUCCACUCUUGCAUUUUAUAUUGUGUCUGAAUUAUUACUAUUAUUAUUAUUAUUAUUAUUAUUAUUAUUGGUGUAAUUUUACCAUUGAUAAGUACAUUUUGAGUUGAACCAGUAUACAUGGGGGUAUGCAGUAGUAAUGCGGUAUUUUCUUUUUGCUUGUCCUCUUACAUUUACUUGAACUUGAUUUUGAUGUCAAUUUUUGGUCGCAGUAUGCCUGCAGUGAGUAGUAAUAUUCUGAGUGCUCCCAUGUUGUUUAGUGGAGGCUCUUCCUCUUUUUCCUCUUCUUGCACUGGCUCUGCCCAGACGCCUUCUUGCUGUAUAGGCUACAACUGCUGAUGCAAUGAACAGCCAGAAAUGGCACAAAAAUGGUUUAUUAUCAUAGAGUUUAAUAAAAAUCUGCGA